UUGGACUAGUACAGUCCUGCUCUUUACUAUGCACUGUUUCUAUGGCAACGGGGGAACCUGGAACGAGUCACAGGCAUUGUCUGAUGACAUCAUCAAUUCCGUGCAGACGCUGACGUUUGCCACGGUGUGCCACUAUCUCGGGUGGAUGUUUGUUCUGUAAAGUUAUAGUGACGCAGUGUUACAGGCGAAUAAAUUCAAACAUCACUUCCUUCUCUGGUGUCCGUCUUGUAUUUGGGAUUUGAGGUUUUCUGUUCCUCUGGCCUGCUGUGCCGUGAUAGGAGGAAGAUGAGGAAGAGCCUUCUGAGACCAGGUGUGUCAGUUUAGGAUUUAUUAUCCAGAUUUUCUUUUGGACCGAGUUGGUUGUUUUUUCGUUCAGUUUGCUCCUAAAUUAGUCACUUCAGUGAUUGACCAGGUGUGUCAUUUUUGGAUUUAUUAUCCAGAUUUUCUUUUGGACCGAGUUGGUGUUUUUUUCGUUCAGUUUGCUC